GGGGAGACUUGUUGCAAUGACUAAUAAUCCUCGAUGUUUCCAGAGUUCAAAGGAACCAUCUUUUUCUCAACAUUCCACAGAACAUCAGACGGGCCUAUUAUACUGAUAGCAUCAUAAUAACAAUUCAAAUGAGCAGGAAAUGGCAAGAACUCAGAAGUCCUGGUAAGAUGUGUGCAUCAGGGGUUGGAGAUAAGCCCUACAAAGACUCAGAGGCCUGCCACAUCAGAAAAGUUUUUAAAGGUCCAGUGGUAUGGGGCAUAUUGAGAUAUUUCUUCCAAGAUAAAGAAGAAAUCGUUAAACCUUGAACAUUCCAUCUUUAAGAGAGCAUUCCCACGGAGCAGGCAUUGAACAACCAAACAGACAGGAUCCUGAGGAUGUCAGCCCACUGCUGCCCUUAACCAUCCCAGUGAAUGA
rnacentral:lncRNA from 1 species